GUGAAUCAUCAAAUCUUUGAACGCAAAUUGCACUCUCUUUGGAGAGUAUGCCUGUUUGAGGGUCAGUAAUAAUAAAAUCGGGGUGUUGCUCUUUUGUGACACAACGGAGUUUGGGCUACCUUUGACUUUCGGGUUUUAAGAGGCUUAAAAUUGAACUUUUUUGCGCACUUUUGACGGACAAAAAUUUAAUUUAUUCGUUAUUUCGGGUCCAAAUAUCUA
rnacentral:misc_RNA from 1 species